rnacentral:rRNA from 1 species
UACGUAGGUGGCAAGCGUUGUCCGGAUUUACUGGGCGUAAAGGAUGCGUAGGCGGACAUUUAAGUCAGAUGUGAAAUACCCGAGCUUAACUUGGGUGCUGCAUUUGAAACUGGGUGUCUAGAGUGCAGGAGAGGUAAGUGGAAUUCCUAGUGUAGCGGUGAAAUGCGUAGAGAUUAGGAAGAACACCAGUGGCGAAGGCGACUUACUGAACUGUAACUGACGCUGAGGCAUGAAAGCGUGGGGAGCAAACAGG